GAUGAAGAACGUAGCGAAAUGCGAUACUUGGUGUGAAUUGCAGAAUCCCGUGAACCAUCGAGUCUUUGAACGCAAGUUGCGCCCGAAGCCAUUAGGCCGAGGGCACGCCUGCCUGGGCGUCACACGUCGUUGCCCCCCCAUCUACUCCUUCGGGAUUGCGGGGGGCGGAUGAUGGCCUCCCGUGCGCCUCGUCGCGCGGUUGGCAUAAAUGCCAAGUCCUCGGCGACGCACGCCACGACAAUCGGUGGUUGCGAAACCUCGGUUGCCCGUCGUGUGCGGUCGUCGCGCAUCGAGGGCUCGAAAAGAUUGUCGGGCUCCGGCUCGGCUUUCAACGCGACCCCAGGUCAGGCGGGGUUACCCGCUGAAUUUAAGCAUAUCAAUAAGCGGAGGA
rnacentral:misc_RNA from 1 species